UUUCCGUAGGUGAACCUGCGGAAGGAUCAUUAUUGUAUAACCGAGGUGCGAGGUCUCUCGCUGUCCCGAACGCUCGUGCACUCACGAUUUACCUCACACACAUCCAUCUCACCCCUAUGUUAAUCACCGCGCGCUUCCCCCUUGGGCUUGUUCGGAGGGUGCCUUACGUUUUCACCAAAUCGUUUUUUGCAUCGUAGAAUGUCUUUUAUUUUUAUGCGAUCACACAGUCAAUACAACUUUCAACAACGGUUCUCUUGGCUCUCGCACCGAUGAAGAAAC
rnacentral:misc_RNA from 1 species